GGAUGAAUGCUGGCGGCGUGCCUUAGGCAUGCAAGUCAAGGGGGCUCCGCAAGGAGCAACCGGCAGACGGGUGAGUAACGCGUAGGAAUCUACCCCUAGGAACCGCAUAGCCCUCCGAAAGGAGGGGUAAUUCGGUAUGGUCUCGCAAGAGUAAAGGACUUAACGGUCCGCCAAGGGAGGAGCCUGCGUCCUAUCAGCUUGUUGGUGGGGUAAAAGCCUACCAAGGCAACGACGGGUAGCUGGACUGAGAGGUCGAUCAGCCACAACUGCACUGAAACACGGGCAGUACAUCUACGGAUGGCAGCAACCGGGAAUAUUGCGCAAUGGACGAAAGUCUGACGCAGCGACGCCGCGUGAAGGAAGAAGGCCUAUGGGUCGUAAACUUCUUUUGAUAGUCCGUUCACAGACUAUAGAACAAGCCUCUACUAACUACGUGCCAGAAGUCUCGGUAAUACGUAGGAGGCAAGCAUUAUCCGGAUUCAUUGGGCGUAAAGUGUGCGUAGGCGGCAUGUUGUGUCGUAUCUUAAAUACCAAGGCUUAACCUCGGAUCUGGAUACGAAACUGGCAUGCUAGAGGAUUGUUAGGGAUGCUAGAACAGUUAGUGUAGCAGUGAAAUGCGUUGAUAUUAACUGGAAUACCGAAGGCGAAGGCAGGCAUCUGGGAUUUUCCUGACGCUGAGGCACGAAAGCUAGGGGAGCGAAACAGAUUAGAGACCUGUGUAGUCCUAGCCGUAAACGAUGUCCGCUAGCUAUCACUCACAAAGCGUAUGAGUAAAUCUCGUACAUUUUGUGAGUGGUGGUGUAAGCUAACGCGUUAAGCGGACCGCCUGGGGAGUACGGUCGCAAGACUAAAACUCAAAGGAAUUGACGGGGACCCGCACAACCGGUGGAGCGUGUGGUUCAAUUCGAGACAAAACGAAGAACCUCACCAAGGUUUGACAUUCUACCGUUUAUGCUCUAAGAAACUAGAGCAAAUCCGUAAGGAUGGUAGAACAGGUGCUGCAUGGCUGUCGUCAGCUCGUGCCGUGAGGUGUUCCCUUAAGUGGGGAAACGAGCGCAACCCCCGCCAAAUGUUAAACGUUCAUUUGGGACUAUCCCGCCUUUUCGGCGGGGGGGAAGGAGGGGAAGACGUCAAGUCAGCACGGCCCUUAUACCUUGGGCUACACACACACUACAAUGGCGAAGAACAACGUGUUGCCAACCAGCAAUGGUGAGCUAAUCACUGAAAUUUCGCCUCAGUUCAGAUUGGAGUCUGCAACUCGACUCCAUGAAGUCGGAAUCGGUAGUAAUCGCAGAUCAGCAUGCUGCGGUGAAUACGUUCUCGGGUC
rnacentral:rRNA from 1 species